rnacentral:rRNA from 1 species
UACGUAGGUGGCAAGCGAUACUCGGAAUCACUAGGCGUAAAGCGCAGGUAGGCGGUUGGAUAAGUCUGUUGUGAAAGCUCCCGGCUUAACUGGGAGAGGUCAACGGAAACUAUCCGGCUAGAGUGUGGUAGAGGUAGCUGGAAUUCCCGGUGUAGCGGUGAAAUGCGUAGAUAUCGGGAGGAAUACCUAUGGCGAAAGCAGGCUACUGGACCAUCACUGACGCUGAUCUGCGAAAGCUAGGGGAGCAAACAGG